UGCUCAUUCCACAUGCAAUUAUUUAUUUAUGUAUGCAUGGUUUCCUCAGCAUACCUCCCUUAGAACACUUGGGUUAUCAAUUCUGGAAAUCAAUAAAACACAUCUGAUCAUUUCCUAUUGGCUUCUACUGACUUUGAAUGCACUUCAGUUCUUUCCUGCUGUUAUCAUCCUGAAAAAGUGAAAUGUGCUGUUAAAGACCAGAUUCUCACAGUGCAGCAUUGUCUCAUUUGAGAACAAGGUGCAACUGAAUCCCCCAUGGAGGAGUAGCUCUCUGUACUGUUCCUCAGAGUCCCAAAGGAACUGUUUAGAGCAAAGUGCUGCGGACUGCUCAGCUGUGCUAACUUACAAAAAGGUAAACUGCUGUGACACCAGAAUGAUUACUACCAGAAGCACCUCCCUGCAACUUGCAUUCUAGGAGAACAGUUUGAAUACUUUCUCUCGUGAAAAGUGAAAUAGCACAGCGGAUGCCCACAGAUGCUAAGGACAGUGGAUUUAUGUCCUGGAUGAUGGUCACACCCUGAAUCCUGGUAGUUCAAUGGCUGCCUCUCAAAGAGACACAGUGUGAAGGUUACCUGCAUCAGGACUGUGAGGCUGGCAGGAGUUAGAAGUUCUGCAUGUGGGAGAGAGGUGCCCCAGUCUGAAGAUGCUCAACGAUGCUUCUGUACACGAGGCACUACUGAAAGAUGAAGUGGCUCUUUGAACAGCACCCCAGUUUAAAGCCACUUGGUUCAGAGAGUGCAACUGUGAGAGCUGAACCCUCCCAAGCAGAGCAGUGUGGAGCAGAGGAAGCACUACAAACUCUGGAAGUGUCUCUUCGGCAUUGCCCUCCUCUUGUCGUGGUGUUUGCUGCUCUCAGCUUUUCCAUAGCUUUCGGAUCAGCCAGGCAACCUGAGUGGAUUGCAGGACCCAGAAUAACUGUGCAUGCUUCCAAAAUGUUACCACAGCUGAGGUUCAUCCUUGAACUCUGGUGGUCUGGAACAACUGCCUUACCAGUUCUCUCUGACAGAUGUAGUCUGACUCAAUCACAAGCAAACUGUGCAACAGACAGAACAGUAUAUUUAACCCCAGAGUGUUCAUCAGAUGAAACAGGCCAUGGAAACAAUGACAUUUAAGUGCUACUUGUAAUCUUCAUCAUUGGCCACCUCAAGCUAUUUGCAUCUCCCUUCUGGCAGCUGACUGAGUGUAACUUUCCUGGGAAGAGCUGUGUACUAUUCAAGCCACAUCUAAAACUCAAGAGCUUCCAUUCAAGCUGGCCAGAGCUUCCUGCAUUCCCAUUUCCACUCCCUAGCAUGAGAUAAAGGACCUGCAGCAGUUCCCAAACUUAGCACUGGUACAAGUUCUGCCUGUCAGCCCACUGUACUGCUGCCUACCCAGGAAGACUUAUCAGAAGGGGAACGUUCAUCUCCUGCUAAACUGAUAUUUAGCUAUUGUAGAAGAAAAGACCGAAGUAAAAAAACUUAGAUUAAGCACAGUAUGUGCAAUGCAAUAAUAUGACAGAAAGUAUAGCAAUAAUAGCAGAGUGCCAAAGUCUUCAGCUACAGCAAACAACAACAAGCCCAAACACAGCAGCUAUGGAUACCGAAACAGAAGAACAAAUCUGCUUACCUUUGAAAGGCCUCAGGCAGGUAUGGAACUCCAGUGAGAUACUCUCACCUCCACUGCCAACCCUUAAAUGAGGUCUGGAUCCUGGCUCCACCCCUUCCAGUCACUCAGAUGCAUCGCACGCACCUGAGCUCCCCUGAGUUGGUCCUGCCUUCCCACCAGGUGCUCAAUUACUGGUUCAGGCCAUGACUUAGCAUUUCCACUACAGCAUGGCAGUCCAGUUAAAUCCCAUGGAUUGUGGAUUCUGAUAUAUUUCAUUCAGGAGUGCAGGUAGGAAUUGAAGAAUAAAUCCCCCUUUUAAUUUGAAUAUCAAAUGAAUGACUUGAGAAAGGACUGAUUGCUACUAAAGAUGAAAAUAUCACACAUUUGGGCUAAAAUCUGUUAUCUGGUACACUGAACUAUUUUGCUGUAUCUUGAAUUUAACAUGUAAAAUAGAAAACAGUGGUGAGAUCAUCAGGUCCUACUAGAAGGAAGCUCUCUAUUUAUAUUGUCCUCCUUGGCCACUGUGGGCAAACUGCAACAAGCCAUCCAGGAAGACUUCAGAAUUCAAGAAAACUUACGCAAUUCCAAAGCAUUCAAAUGAUAUCUCACUAAGGAAUAAAUGAAAAAGUCAUUUGUUCAACCACCCUCUGUACUUCUACAACCUCCCCCCACCUUCUGCAAUGUAUGAAACAGCAGUUUCAAAGAAGCAGCAUAAAAAACAAAGAAAAAAAUAGGUAAUGAACUUACUAAAUCCACAGGUUGGACAAGAAAAAAAUUAUUGCCUCUCUUCACAUAGAUAAAUAAAAGGAACGUGGUGAUACCUUUCCAAGAUGAAGAUAAAUGUCAUUUAAAAUAGAAAGCCCUUGACAGCUCCUAGGUUUCAGCUCUUGGUGAGUGACUUAACUUCAUAAUGCGCUUCUGAAAGAUGGGUUUCACAACAGAAAAGCUUCUUCAAGGUGCCUAUUGUAGAGAAAAAUAAGAUAUUUAUUUACUUCUACACUAAACUAUUUUAAAGUGUUCUGACUCAUCAGAAUGUGAGAGCACAAUUGCCAGUCACUCUGUUUUCAUCAGGCCAGAUGUGAAAGGAAGCCUUCUCAUCUCCAGAUAGCUUUUAGCAGAUGCUCAAAGAUAUUCUGGCACAAGAUUAGGAAUCAAGAAAUUGCAACAUAUAAUCUGUCUGAGACUAGCGCAGACCAUCCUCUCAACUCUCUAUUUCAGUACAAGUAAUAGUGAUUCUGCUAUUUAUCUUCCAGACAUAUUACAAAAAUUAAUUCUUUGAUGUCUUUUGUAGGAUAAAACUGAAAUGCUGCUUAUUAAUAUCCUUAGAUUCAGCAAAGUUUCAAAGACUUUCUUUCAUGGAAAUAUAGAUUUCAAGGCCAGGAGGGCCUUGAUUUUGUCUGUGAUUAGCUCAUUCUGCUUCCUUUUAUAUCAUUUUCAGACCUUUUAAUUGCAGUUGUAAAUUGUUUCAAAAUUCAACAGUCGUGCUAACUGAAAAAGUAAAAAAUAAGGUACAGUAGCAUAGAUGCAUAUGUUUUCAUGCUGUGGGUAUGCUGUGGGUAAACUAGUGAAAUCAAUAGUUUAAAGAUUUAGCAAUAAGUGAGUGAAAUCACUAGUUAAGUAUUUUUUGUGAUGGGUAGUGUGCAUUACAAAACAAAGAUUAAAGGACUUGGCAGGUCUUGCUCUUCGAUACCCUUUCACUUUCCAUUUCCUUUGUCCUUGGAGAGUGUCAUAAUGCAGCUCUGUGCUUUUUCAGCUAGAUUUUGCCAGAUGUCUACUUCUUGCAUAUAUUUGGAGUUAAGCUUAAUUUAAUUGUGCCCCAAUUCAAGAGUAUCCCUAUGCUGGCAAGUUGAUUAAGCAUGGUAGUAAUUUUAAUUCUCUUCUUAUCUCUCACUGGAGUGCAGUUAGUGGAGCUGAUGAAGUUAACCCCAUAGAUAAAAGCUUUUAAAAAUGGGGCCUCAGACAAGAAGGAUAAACCUUUCUUUUCAAAAGGAAGGAUUGGUCUUCACCUGUCUAAAGCUGUUUCUUCUCUACUCCUCUAUCCAUCAGCAGAUCACUUUCUUCAGAGGGCCAUGACACUACAGUUGGUUCACCUUUAUCACUGGCUUUUUUUCCUUGUUAGUUUUGCACUUGUCUGUGAGUCAUUGCUGUUUUUUACAUAUGACAAUGCAAGGUGGCUGCUUACGCUUUUUUUUUUUAUAUUAUUAUUUUUUGCCAGAUGUUUCCCUCUCUACAUGACUGAUUCUACUGUGUAGGUACAACAGAAAUGGCACGAAGCCAGCAUUUAAAAGAUACCAGUUAGUGCAGUAAAGACUUGAGGAAGUACACUGCCAGAUUUGCAUGCCACAUUCAUGGUGAAAUCAUACGGAUACGUGGGGCUAACAUUUCAUUUAAUAACCACAUUAAGAUACCAUUUUCAAGCAUUACACUUAAGUGCCUUGUAACACGUUUAAUUUUCUUUCUGAAAAUAUAUCGUCAGAAGCCAGUAGGAGGAACAGUGGCAUAAUUUAAAUGUCACUCUGCUUCCCAGUAAUGACUUUCAUAUUCAGGCAUUCUACUCCAGUGACAAAGCUCACAUCUCUGCUAGAGUGUUUCUGUUCAUACAGCUCUGUUUUCAGUCAGGCGUGCACAGAAGCUUGAGUGUGCUUUUAUAUACUUAAUCUGGGUUUUAAUUAACACACAGAAAAACAAUAGCUUUGAGCAAAUGGAGAGGAACUCUAUAAAUGGGAAGGUCAUUCACAAAACAAAGGGAAAAGGUCCUUACUGUAAAGAAAUCCCAAUAUGCAGCAUCUGAACUUUUCUUGUAUUUUAUGAAAAUCAAGCCAAUUGCAGACUUUCUGCACAUCUCAGAUCAUUGAUAUAUACAAAAGGAUCCCUGCUUGCCUUACAGAUACACAUGCUCGGCACUCAUCUGCAGAGGUUUUCAACUUGCCCUGAAACUCCAUCCUGGCAAAAUGUCUCACACACAUACCAGAGCACUUCAGUUUAAGGUAAUAGAAGAAAUAGCCCCUCAUACAUAUACAAAUAUAUUCCCUCGUGCCCUGAGAGGCAAAAGGCUGGCUGUAAUGAUCCAGCAGCACUGUCCUGACUUUUUUUUUUAAUCUAUUGAAUGGACACAAGAAAGUUCAGCUUGUUUACAUCCAAGGACACCAUGGGAGAGAGCAAAAUACUUUGCAUAAUUUGUAAGACUUGAAACUGCUCAUUUCCCCAUAAAACACAGUAUAAAAAUGAUUCACUCUAACCCAAACAGACAUACCAAAAGUGACACAGAGCAUCUUCUUGAACAGCAAAAGGAAGCAACGCAUAUCAGCUAAGAGGGAUGAGUAAAGGAGAGUACUUUCUCCAGUGGAAGUUUAGGCAGGAAGAACAUCAUUACUGACAGCACAAUCUCACCUCUGGGAUCAAACUUGCAGUCCUGUGCAGCACUGAAACUGCCGUAUGAAUUUCCUGAAUUCCUCCAUUUUGCAUCUCAUUUACAGCAAGCCAGCUCCAGUUAUACAAAGACACAAACAUACUCUAAGAGGUUCCUUCAGGCCUAAGAGAGAUUUGUUCAAGUUAUUGAUUCCUCAUUACAGUUGCUGCCGCCCCUGAGAUAUCCAUAGAGAUCUAACAUUAGAGUACUGGCCACUACUCUUGCUCUUGCUUCACUUCUAAUAGCUGAUGUGUUUACAUCUUAAGGGAAUAUUGAUCUUCAGCAAAUCAUCUUUUUCAUUUCAAGCAAGCUGAAACUCCAGUAGAGAGAGACAGGACAGAAAAAAGCUUUGCUAGUGCUUAUGACAAACAUCAGAAUGUAAUAAUAUAGCUUUAAAUACUUAGAAAGUAAACCCAAAACUUGUUUGCAAGGAUAAUCAUAGAGGGAAGUUCAUAAAUGAAAAAUAGAAUUUAGUUAUGGUACCUCUUCUUAAGAGAUCUCAAGUAACUCACCCUUUAAAAUAUCAUUACUGUUAAUUUGUUUAUGAAAGACUUAGGAGGCUACAACAAAAAGGGGAAGUGCUGAAAAAUAAAACCACUGAAAAGCAUCUUCCUCUCUUGCUGGUCAAAAGACUUCAGAGCAGGUGUUUUUGGCUUGUUACUGUUGCCAUCAGCCAAUAUCAAAAGCAGUUGGCAAUGCUCUCAUCAUGCAAAAAUUCCAAUCAGAUAACUCAGUAUAUUCUAAUUACUGUAGUAACACCUGUUGUAGUUCUAAAUGACUAACUUAUCACAGCAGACAGGCCUGCCUUCUCUUUCGGUUUCAUUGACUCUUAAAUUUCUGCUUCCUCUAAUUGCAUGUCUAGCUUACCAAACAAAUUCUGUAGUCCACAUUUAUUCUUUGCCACCUCACGCUUUAAUCCUCUGGUUAAUGGUUUGCUGCCAUCUCUCACCUACACUGUGAUUAUGUCUAUUCCAUUUCACUCCAAGACAGUAGACUAUCUUUUCUAUUCACGUUAGCACUUGGCCAAAUGAUUCAUCCAAAUGAUGAUUUCUUAGGCUGGUUAUAUCAGUGAUAUCCAUAUACAGGUACUUAUUGGGUGAUACUACAAAAAUGUCAUUUCUAAAAACCUGUUUCUUUGCUAUUGAGCCCAUAUAAAAUACAAGUUUUUUUCCACAGAAAACAGCUCUUCUGUCCUUUCAUUUACACCUACCAAAAGCAGCUGCCAAUCACUUUCCAAAAAUGUGGACAAGCACAAAUUGUGUAACCGAAUUGACUCAUGUUACUUCACUCAGAGAUAGACCAUGCAUCGUUUUUUUUCCUGAUCUGGAGCAAUUCAAAUAAUUUAGAGAGAAAUAAAAAUUGCUGGUUUGACAUCAUCAGAUAAAGGAUCAUAUUCCUGAAAUGCCUUUUGUUACUUUUGUAUGCAUACUUUGCUGUGUAUAAUGAUCAUUAAUAUACAACAACAUAUGCAUUAAUGCAGACUACGUAUUGCUUUUGCAAGCACAGUGGUCAAGAUCAGGAAGUAAAUUAAUGCAUUUAAGAAACUAUAGAAAGUGGGAGUAUAUUUCUGCCAUUUUUGUUUUGCAAGUGCCAUGUGAAUUUCACUCCAAGUAUGUAAAUCUUUUGCUUAUCAUGUCAUGGAUUAAUCCCCACACUGCUCCAGUCAAUGCAGAACUGCUCUCUGCAACAGUACCUAACAACACACAUACCCUUUUCACACUGUGACUCUGAAAUCUACAAAUUGGUUCUGUUGCAUGAUCAUGAUGGAAAUCUAAUACUCUGGUCGACAUCGUAAGCUUUAGUUAAUCAUCUCAGUUUCAUGAAUUUAGCUGAUUUUCAUAAGAACAAAAACAGUUGAAUUCUGUUAAUGUGAAACUUCUUUCAGGAUAACUUGAAAGUUACCACACAGAUAAUAUCAUAUUAUGGGAAAUCCAGAAGUUCAGUUGUGCAUUUGGAAAAUAUGUAACAUAUCAACAAUCUGAGUGCAGCAGGAUCAUUGAUUUCUCCCUCCGUAUAAACGGCAUUCUUCCAGAGCAUGAAGCCUGUAGUUGCAAAUUCCACUAACUUAAACACGAGAGCGACUAUAAGAAAACAUAGAGGUUGAAUCAUUGCUGCCAUUCAGGCAGAGAAAACUGCAUAACCUGAGAGAACGAUGAGGGGUUUAUAAACUUAUCUCACUAAACUGAUCUGCAUUAUUAUCAUUAGACUCAUCAGAAAAAAUACGUUUUGGCUCUAACUUAGAUACCCUUCCUUGUUCUUAGAGAUAAAAGUAAACCUACAGUCAUAAUGAAUGAUCACUUCUGAAGGAAAGGAACUUAAGUUUUGGCCCACAGAUGGUGAUAGCCCUAAUUGUUUAAUGAUAUUUUACAGUUAGAAGAUUGUAUCCCUUUUGUCUCAUUAUUUCUCCAAACAAACUGUUCUGUCAUGUAUAUUUUAAAUACUUUCUGCUUAUGAUAUCCAUCUAUGCUUUUGAGUGAGGUCUCUUUGUAUGAAUGCUUUUCUAUCUGCUCAGCUACUCUCUUUCAUCUAAUGUUGGCUUAACACUGUGCACAUUCUUUAAAACACCUAGUGUUAAGUUGCAGCUGCGUCACUAAGUUUAAGCUAGAGACUGCUUGAUCGGUAAUAAUAUCUGUGCUGAUCAUCACUCACGUCGUUACUUUAGUUUGGAUUGUUACGAUUUGUCACCCAUGUCAAUUGCCAGGAGGGCCAAACAAUUUUAGUUCUAGAUGUGAAAAAUGCCAUGACUACACCUAAAGGGAGGACUAAGACUGCCUUUCAGCUGACCGUGUCUCGAUGCUCCCUCUUGAAAUUGCACCCAGGAAAUGUUGCUGCAGCCGAGCUGCUUCUGGCCAGAAAGCCUUGGGCUGAUCUGAGUGAGCAGACAUUUGUUAGGAUAAAUGCUAAGUACUAAGUAGAAUUUUGAAUCAAUCCUCUGCCAAUUAAGAAUAUGAUUAAAUUACAUAAAAAGAAUGGGAUCAAAAUACUACAGUUUGGAAAAACAAGGCUGUUUUCCAUAGCAGAAGACUACACUUCUAUCUAUUAUCAACUUUCUUUUUGGAGGUCCAGAAUGAAUUUAACAGAACAUACCUAAGGUUUCAAAGUAGAGAAUUCAGAGGAGGUUUUUUUAUAGAUUCAUGCACAAAAGUACAAUCGCUCCCCUGGAGCAGAUUUAUUUAUUUAUUUACUAAUCUUUUGGCUUACCUGCUCUUUAAAUCAAUCCAGGCUAGUUUCUUCUCUCUUCUCUUUCUCUUCUGUUGCUCUUUUUGACAUUGCCUCUGAAUUGAACACUGGGCUCUGGUGAUGAUCAGCAUGGAGUGCUAUUGUGAUACCAGAGGUGGGCUUCCUGCUGAAAGAAUGGCCAUGGCAGUUAUACAUGAUAAUCCAAAACAUUUUCACAUGCACAUACAACACAAAGUAGCCCAGGAAAAGACCCCAUUAUUCACAUAAAGAAGUUACGUUUAUAAAAUCACCAUGUAAGAAAAUAGGCCAGCUGUUUAAAUGAUUGGAUUCUACAGGGGAGAAACAAGGGCAUCUCCUUUGCAUACAAGCACUUUUCAUUCACAGUUAUAGCAUUACAUUUUUUUUCCUUGUGGUUUGCCUAUUUAUACAGCUGCUACAUUUUUUCCCCUAUUUUUAUUUUUAAGGUGACUGUGUUUUACACAAGCCACAGCUUUUACAUGAUUGUAUAAUUUUUUUUCCCUAAUCUAUUUUGUUACCUAUGUGGAUAAAAUUAAUAGAGAAUGCUGACUUAUUUAAUAAACUUUAUUAAGCCUUUGAGGGAACGUCAAUGUACUCAUACAGAGAGGCAAUACAGAAUGUAUUCACUCUAUCAUGACACAGAAAUUACAAUUCUAAGCUGGGAAUAAAUGACAUUCUAGAAAAAGCAGAAGGAACAACAUAUAAGGAGUUAAUAAUGAACAACUUGUCUUCAUUUUCAGACCCUUUAAUCCUGCUAUUGUGCAGUUUUCACACAGUGCUAAAUUGAAUUACUGCAUCAUUUUUUACAAUUUCUUCAUACAGUUGACCCAGUUUAUAGCAGGUUUGAAAGCAUUAUCAUUGCUUAAGGUUCAAAGAUGCUGCCGUGUAUUGCAUUACAAGUCAAUCUCUGCAGAAGUAUUUUGAUGUGAUUUUGCUUUCGGAUAUAGAAGAGCAGAUAUCCAACUGAAGGAUGGUAUUUCAUUUUAUCAUAACAAUGUCACAUAAUACUUUUUUAUUCAGUAUGUAUAGUCUCAUUUUCCUUGUAUUUUUUUCUCUGACUUUUCUUGGUCUAAUAAAGUGAAUCUCCAGUUUAUGUCUCCCAACGAUUUUAUGCAAAAAGAACAUUGAAGAGAAUUCUAGCAUAGCUUUUCACUAUUGUGUAGCAGAUAUAUUUAGUUGACACUACUAAAACAACUAAAAGGGAACGCAUUGUUUCUAGACAUUGCAUCACUUCCAAAAUGCUCCAAUUGAGAAAUUCUUUAUGUGAAGUUUUCUUGUUCUACUGUGCAGUGCUUUCUACAGCUUCUUUUUAGCACAUAAAAACUGUGCUCAAUUUAACUGUGUUUUAGGCAGUGUGUUUUAGGUAAAGCAUUUCAUUUUCUCAAGGUCAUUCUUUAUGCUUCAGGUGUUAAUUUGUGUUGUUCUUGAAGUAUUCUUAUUAUUGAUAGUAGAGUCCUUGGUAUAUGUUAUAUUGAAGUAUUGCUAAUGUAUGAACUGUAACAUUAAAUUUUUAAUCUAAUCAAUCAAAUGCCAUGCAUAUGCAGUAGAUGCUUGGCUUUUACUAAGAUUAAUUACCAUGUGCUGUGAAAACCAACUCUGUAAGGUGAACUAUUGCAUGCAUACAGACGCACACAAUGAAAUGAAAAGAAG
ensembl:lncRNA